GAUGAAGAACGUAGCGAAGUGCGAUAAGUAAUGUGAAUUGCAGAAUUCCGUGAAUCAUCGAAUCUUUGAACGCAUAUUGCACUUUCUGGUAUUCCGGAAAGUAUGCCUGUUUGAGGGUCAGUUAAAUAAAAAUCGGUGUUGUUGCUACUCCGUAGUGGCGUUAAUGCAUCGGAAUUGAGUUGUCUUUAACCUUUUUUGGUUAAAGUGACUUAAAAUUAUGUACGAUUUUUGAACGUAUUUAAUUUAUUUACGUAUGUUCAUAAUAUCAAAUAUUAGAUGCGGUCAUCCUCAUGAUUUUCGCGUCUAUAAUUUUUCAUUAUUUGACCUCAAAUCAGGUAAGAAUACCCGCUGAACUUAAGCAUAUCAAUAAGCGGAGGA
rnacentral:misc_RNA from 1 species